rnacentral:rRNA from 1 species
AACGAACGCUGGCGGCAGGCUUAACACAUGCAAGUCGAGCGCCCCGCAAGGGGAGCGGCAGACGGGUGAGUAACGCGUGGGAAUCUACCUUUUGCUACGGAAUAACGCAGGGAAACUUGUGCUAAUACCGUAUGUGUCCUUCGGGAGAAAGAUUUAUCGGCAAGAGAUGAGCCCGCGUUGGAUUAGCUAGUUGGUGGGGUAAAGGCCUACCAAGGCGACGAUCCAUAGCUGGUCUGAGAGGAUGAUCAGCCACAUUGGGACUGAGACACGGCCCAAACUCCUACGGGAGGCAGCAGUGGGGAAUAUUGGACAAUGGGCGCAAGCCUGAUCCAGCCAGCGUGAGUGAUGAAGGCCCUCGGGUUGUAAAGCUCUUUUAUCGGAAAAGAUAUGGACUUGAUCCAUAGAAGAAGCCCCUGAUAACUUCUGGCCAAUAACCGCCGUAAUACUAAGGGCGCUAACGCUGUUCAGAACUAAUGGGGCUAACGCUCAUCUAAGUUGAUGGAUCAAACGCGGGCGAAAUCCCAGGGCUCAACCCUGGAACUGCCUUUGAUACUGUCCAUGUGAAUGAUGGAGGAUGCGGGUGGAAUUCAGAGUGAUAAAGGAUGAUUCAAUUAUAUUCGGAGGAACACAAAUUGGCGAAGGCGGCUCACUGGUUCAUUACUGACGCUGAGGUGCUAAAGCGUGGGUAACACUGAGGAUUAAAUACCCUGGGAGUCCACGCCAUUAAAUACCAAGGUUAGCCGCCCCGUAAAAUACUGUUCCUGGAUGCUGGUCUCGCAUUAGACAUUCCGCCUGAGGAGAACGGUCUCAAUAUUACGACUCAAAGAGAAUUGACGCAAGACUGCACCUCCGGGGAAUUGUGUGGUUUCCUUCCAAGCGACGCGACAGAACCUUACCAGCCCUUGACAUCCUGUGAUACCUCUAUAGAUAUGACAUCCACUUCAGCCUGCAAAAAACAGGUGCUGCAUGGGUGUCGCCAAAUAGAGUCGCUACAUGUUUGUCUUCCUCUCGCAACGAGAGAUACUCUCGUCCUUAGCUGCAAAGCAUUUAGCUCGGCGCUCUUAGGUGCACUCACGUUGUUAAGAUAGUAGAAGGAGACUAUGAAAUGAAAUCCGCAUGGACUUUGGGGAAAACGGCUACAGAUGUAGUACGAUUGCUGGUGUCAGCUGCGCGACGUACUACGCUUUAUGUGAACUGAUCUCCACAAGGCCAUCU